CCUACGGGUGGCAGCAGUGAGGAAUAUUGGUCAAUGGACGAGAGUCUGAACCAGCCAAGUAGCGUGAAGGAUGACUGCCCUAUGGGUUGUAAACUUCUUUUAUAAAGGAAUAAAACGAGGCACGUGUGCCUUUUUGCAUGUACUUCAUGAAUAAGGCUCGGCUAACACCGUGCCAGCAGCCGCGGUAAUACGGAGGGUCCGAGCGUUAUCCGGAUUUAUUGGGUUUAAAGGGAGCGUAGGUGGGUUGUUAAGUCAGUUGUGAAAGUUUGCGGCUCAACCGUAAAAUUGCAAUUGAUACUGGCAUUCUUGAGUACGGGUGAGGUAGGCGGAAUUCGUGGUGUAGCGGUAAAAUGCUUAGAGAUCAAGAGGAACCCCGAUUGCGAAGGCAGCUUACUAAACUGUGACUGACAUUGAUGCUCGAAAGUGUGGGUAUCAAACAGGAUUAGAUACCCCAGUAGUC
rnacentral:rRNA from 1 species